rnacentral:rRNA from 1 species
CAGUAGCCGCGGUAACACGUAGGGUGCAAGCGUUAAUCGGAAUUACUGGGCGUAAAGCGUGCGCAGGCGGUUCGUUAAGACAGAUGUGAAAUCCCCGGGCUUAACCUGGGAACUGCAUUUGUGACUGGCGGGCUAGAGUAUGGCAGAGGGGGGUAGAAUUCCACGUGUAGCAGUGAAAUGCGUAGAGAUGUGGAGGAAUACCAAUGGCGAAGGCAGCCCCCUGGGCCAAUACUGACGCUCGUGCACGAAAGCGUGGGGAGCAAACAGGAUUAGAUACCCCUGUAGUCCCUGUCUCUUAUAC